CCUGCAGUGAUGAACUGCUAACAUGUGAGAAGAGCCAUUCCUGUGGUUUCUUCAAUGAAAUACUUUUGUUACGUGUGGUUUCUGAGCUUU
rnacentral:snoRNA from 1 species